GACGAACGCUGGCGGCGUGCUUAACACAUGCAAGUCGAACGGUAAGGCCCUUCGGGGUACACGAGUGGCGAACAGGUGAGUAACACGUGGGUGAUCUGCCCUGCACUUCGGGAUAAGCCUGGGAAACUGGGUCUAAUACCGGAUAGGACCACUGCCUGCAUGGGUGGUGGUGGAAAGCUUUUGCGGUGUGGGAUGGGCCCGCGGCCUAUCAGCUUGUUGGUGGGGUGAUGGCCUACCAAGGCGACGACGGGUAGCCGGCCUGAGAGGGUGACCGGCCACGCUGGGACUGAGAUACGGCCCAGACUCCUACGGGAGGCAGCAGUGGGGAAUAUUGCACAAUGGGCGCAAGCCUGAUGCAGCGACGCCGCGUGAGGGAUGACGGCCUUCGGGUUGUAAACCUCUUUCAGCACCGACGAAGCGCAAGUGACGGUAGGUGCGGAAGAAGGACCGGCCAACUACGUGCCAGCAGCCGCAGUAA
rnacentral:rRNA from 1 species